rnacentral:rRNA from 1 species
CAGCCGCCGCGGUAAUACGAAGGAUGCAAGCGUUAAUCGGAAUUACUGGGCGUAAAGCGUGCGUAGGCGGUGAGUUAAGUCUGCUGUGAAAUCCCCGGGCUCAACCUGGGAAUGGCAGUGGAUACUGGCUCGCUAGAGUGUGUCAGAGGAUGGUGGAAUUCCCGGUGUAGCGGUGAAAUGCGUAGAGAUCGGGAGAAACAUCGGUGGCGAAGGCGGCCAUCUGGGACAACACUGACGCUGAGGCACGAAAGCGUGGGGAGCAAACAGGAUUAGAUACCCGCGUAGUCCCUGUCUCUUAUAC